rnacentral:rRNA from 1 species
GGGGAAUCUUGGACAAUGGGCGCAAGCCUGAUCCAGCAAUGCCGCGUGUGUGAAGAAGGCCUUAGGGUUGUAAAGCACUUUUGUUCGGGAUGAAGGAGGGCGUGCAAACACCAUGCCCUCUUGACGAUACCGAAAGAAUAAGCACCGGCUAACUACGUG